rnacentral:miRNA from 1 species
CCGGCCCCGGGCGGGCGGGAGGGACGGGACGCGGUGCAGUGUUGUUCUUUCCCCGCCAAUAUUGCACUCGUCCCGGCCUCCGGCCCCCUCGGCCC